rnacentral:rRNA from 1 species
GCGCCAUUUUUUUAAUCGGCAUCAUCCUUCGGGGUGAGCUCGUGGAACGAGCGGCGGACGGGUGAGUAACACGUGGGCAACCUGCCUGUAAGAUCGGAAUAACCCCGGGAAACCGGGGCUAAUGCCGGGUAAUACUUUCUUUCGCAUGAAGGAAAGUUGAAAGAUGGCUUCUCGCUAUCACUUACAGAUGGGCCCGCGGCGCAUUAGCUAGUUGGUGAGGUAACGGCUCACCAAGGCGACGAUGCGUAGCCGACCUGAGAGGGUGAUCGGCCACACUGGGACUGAGACACGGCCCAGACUCCUACGGGAGGCAGCAGUAGGGAAUCUUCCGCAAUGGACGAAAGUCUGACGGAGCAACGCCGCGUGAACGAUGAAGGUCUUCGGAUCGUAAAGUUCUGUUGUUAGGGAAGAACAAGUACCGUGCGAAUAGAGCGGUACCUUGACGGUACCUAACGAGGAAGCCCCGGCUAACUACGUGCCAGCAGCCGCGGUAAUACGUAGGGGGCAAGCGUUGUCCGGAAUUAUUGGGCGUAAAGCGCGCGCAGGCGGUUCCUUAAGUCUGAUGUGAAAGCCCACGGCUCAACCGUGGAGGGUCAUUGGAAACUGGGGAACUUGAGGACAGAAGAGGAGAGUGGAAUUCCACGUGUAGCGGUGAAAUGCGUAGAUAUGUGGAGGAACACCAGUGGCGAAGGCGACUCUCUGGUCUGUUUCUGACGCUGAGGUGCGAAAGCGUGGGUAGCAAACAGGAUUAGAUACCCUGGUAGUCCACGCCGUAAACGAUGAGUGCUAGGUGUUAGGGGGCUUCCACCCCUUAGUGCUGAAGUUAACGCAUUAAGCACUCCGCCUGGGGAGUACGGCCGCAAGGCUGAAACUCAAAGGAAUUGACGGGGGCCCGCACAAGCGGUGGAGCAUGUGGUUUAAUUCGAAGCAACGCGAAGAACCUUACCAGGUCUUGACAUCCUUGGACAACCCUAGAGAUAGGGCUUUCCCUUCGGGGACCAAGUGACAGGUGGUGCAUGGUUGUCGUCAGCUCGUGUCGUGAGAUGUUGGGUUAAGUCCCGCAACGAGCGCAACCCCUAAUCUUAGUUGCCAGCAUUCAGUUGGGCACUCUAAGGUGACUGCCGGUGACAAACCGGAGGAAGGCGGGGAUGACGUCAAAUCAUCAUGCCCCUUAUGACCUGGGCUACACACGUGCUACAAUGGAUGGUACAAAGGGCAGCGAAGCCGCGAGGUGUAGCAAAUCCCAUAAAACCUUUCUCAGUUCGGAUUGCAGGCUGCAACUUCGCCUGCAUGAAGCCGGAAUCGCUAGUAAUCGCGGAUCAGCAUGCCGGUUGUUCCCUC